CGCGGGGUAGAGCAGUUGGUAGCUCGUCGGGCUCAUAACCCGGAGGUCGCAGGUUCGAGUCCUGUCUCCGCUACUA
rnacentral:tRNA from 2 species